GUAAGAACCGCCUACCUGGCACAUGCGUAUUGGCUUCUUGUUUCUAUUGGUCCUCUCUCUCUCUCUCUCUCUCUCUCUCUCUCUCUUCGUCGGGUUUUUUUUUGUGUGAGAAAUUUCGUCAUCUCUCCUUCUCCAAAUCCAUCCAUGAAAUCAUCUUGAAGCAUCGGUUCCUAGAAUCAAAGCACGGAGAUGUUUCAAGGUAGAGACAAUAUGUGACAUCAAUGAAGAAAACGGAUUACUUUCUGCUUCUGGGUAUCAUCAUUCUCCUCUUCCUCUCUGGGUCUGUAGCUUCAGCUCCUUCAUCAACUUCACCAGCGAUGCUCCUACUACCUCGGACUCGGAGGGAUGUCUCGCCGCAAUUUCACAUCAAUCACUGAGUCAGGUGUUAAAAAAACUUUGGAUUCCAUGGAUACAUGUGCAAACAUGUUCAUCUUGAGCAUGUCUGGAUAUAUGUGUUACACUUAUUUGGGUAUAUUUUUAUUAAUCAUUUUCCUUCGGCUCAUCGUUAUUUAUGCACUGGUGAGUCAUUUUCUUCUAUUUUGGAUACAUUCUGAACAUCAAUAGGGAACUCAUAGAGGUCUGGAAAUGUAUCCUCAUGAAUCGCAGCUCCUUGAGUGAGAUCUGUCGCAUUUCUGAGUUUUAGAAUAUUAAGCUUGACUAUUUCUUUUUUAUUAUAGUAGUCUGUUCAUGAUCCUGAACAUUUUGUGCAGGGCUGGUGAAUUUGACUCAAAUGGUUGAACUUCCAUCUCAAGAAAGGUGGCUACAAUUGGAAACUUUUCUUCAGAUACGAAGUCCGUAGGUAAGGACUAUUUCGCUGCCGGGCUCGUCACUGUACGCGGGUCCCAUUGCCGCAUGGAAACUCGCGAUUGGCCCCCUUUUUUUUUUUUAAACUGAAAAAAAAUAAAAUAAUAAAAUAAUAUAAAAUACUUAUCUGGGUUAUCGAACCAUGAGUAACAUGGUUGUGGAUGCCCUUAGUAUAUGUUUUACCAAACGUGGUUAACAAAUGUUCUUGACUCGUACACUUUAAGAACUAUUGAUGUAUAGGACUCCUGGAUCGGUAAAACAAAUAUAUCAGUCUACUGUAAAAAAAAAACUUACUGUUCUAGUCUCUUUUGGCUUAGUACAGGUCAUCUUUUUAUUGCUUAUGUAGUUAUGUACAUAUGACUUUCACUUAGUGAUUUUGAGAAUGAAAGCGAAGGAAACUACAUUCAGAUUUUAUUAAUUCUAUACAUUGUAGGCUUGGAGCUCUACAAGUUUUUCACUAAUCUGUAAAAUAAAUUUGUAGAAAGAUAGUUUAAUCGACAAAAUAACAUCGUGCGAGAACAAG